rnacentral:piRNA from 1 species
UGAGAUGGCUGCCAUGGGAUAGAAGG